rnacentral:rRNA from 1 species
UACGUAGGUGGCAAGCGUUAUCCGGAUUUACUGGGUGUAAAGGGCGUGUAGGCGGGAAAGCAAGUCAGAUGUGAAAACCAUGGGCUCAACCUAUGGCCUGCAUUUGAAACUGUUUUUCUUGAGUACUGGAGAGGCAGACGGAAUUCCUAGUGUAGCGGUGAAAUGCGUAGAUAUUAGGAGGAACACCAGUGGCGAAGGCGGUCUGCUGGACAGCAACUGACGCUGAGGCGCGAAAGCGUGGGGAGCAAACAGG